AUCCAGGCUGACGAGUCCCAAAUAGGACGAAAUGCGCAUCCUGGAU
rnacentral:hammerhead_ribozyme from 1 species